rnacentral:rRNA from 1 species
GACGAACGCUGGCGGCGCGCCUAACACAUGCAAGUCGAACGAGCGAGAGAGAGCUUGCUUUCUCAAGCGAGUGGCGAACGGGUGAGUAACGCGUGAGGAACCUGCCUCAAAGAGGGGGACAACAGUUGGAAACGACUGCUAAUACCGCAUAAGCCCACAGGUCGGCAUCGACCAGAGGGAAAAGGAGCAAUCCGCUUUGAGAUGGCCUCGCGUCCGAUUAGCUAGUUGGCGAGGUAACGGCCCACCAAGGCAACGAUCGGUAGCCGGACUGAGAGGUUGAACGGCCACAUUGGGACUGAGACACGGCCCAGACUCCUACGGGAGGCAGCAGUGGGGAAUAUUGCACAAUGGGGGAAACCCUGAUGCAGCGACGCCGCGUGGAGGAAGAAGGUCUUCGGAUUGUAAACUCCUGUUGUUGAGGAAGAUAAUGACGGUACUCAACAAGGAAGUGACGGCUAACUACGUG